UGGGGAAUAUUGGACAAUGGGCGAAAGCCUGAUCCAGCAAUGCCGCGUGAGUGAUGAAGGCCUUAGGGUUGUAAAGCUCUUUUACCCGGGAAGAUAAUGACUGUACCGGGAGAAUAAGCCCCGGCUAACUCCGUGCCAGCAGCCGCGGUAAUACGGAGGGGGCUAGCGUUGUUCGGAAUUACUGGGCGUAAAGCGCGCGUAGGCGGCUUUGUAAGUUAGAGGUGAAAGCCCGGAGCUUAACUCCGGAACUGCCUUUAAGACUGCAUCGCUAGAAUCGUGGAGAGGUGAGUGGAAUUCCGAGUGUAGAGGUGAAAUUCGUAGAUAUUCGGAAGAACACCAGUGGCGAAGGCGACUCACUGGACACGUAUUGACGCUGAGGUGCGAAAGCGUGGGGAGCAAACAGGAAUUAGAUACCCUGGUAGUCCACGCCGUAAACGAUGAUGACUAGCUGUCGGGCUCGAUGGAGUUUCGGUGGCGCAGCUAACGCGUUAAGUC
rnacentral:rRNA from 1 species